rnacentral:rRNA from 1 species
GACGUAGGAGGCGAGCGUUGUCCGGAUUCAUUGGGCGUAAAGAGCACGCAGGCGGUUUGGCAAGUCGGAUGUGAAAACCCCGGAGCUCAACUCCGGACCUGCAUCCGAAACUGCCCGACUAGAGGUAGGUAGGGGAGAUCGGAAUUCCUGGUGUAGCGGUGAAAUGCGCAGAUAUCAGGAGGAACACCGGUGGCGAAGGCGGAUCUCUGGGCCUUACCUGACGCUCAGGUGCGAAAGCUAGGGGAGCGAACAGG